AGGAUGUUGAUGGAUAUAGAUAUCCGAAAAUUUAUCAAAAUUCGAACACGAAUGAAACGAACUUAUUCGAUGUUAAUUAGGUAUAGUUUUAAAAAAUCGACAUAUUCGGAUUCAGAUAUAAAUUUUACCUGUACUCAACCUAAACCCGAAUAAAUUUUACGUUAUAUAGUAUAUAUGAAUGUUUGGUAUUAUAUUUGAAUUUUAAAAAUAAAUUUUAGAUUUUAAUAUAAUAUACUUUGAAAUAUGGUAAUGAGAAAUGAUUUCUUUGGAUUUGGACUUUUAGAUUCGGAUUUGGGUUUAAAUUUUUUAUCAGUUCAGAUUUGGAUUGGACCUAUUAUUUGGUUCGGAUAUAAGUAAGAACUACUUAUUUCAGGAAUAGGUAUAAGUUCAAAUAUAAACAAAAAACUAGACUAAUUUUGCAUUUGAAUGAAAAUUGGAUUGUUUUCGAGAAUAAGAAAAAUAACGUUUGCAUAGAUAAGAUGGAAUUAGAAGAAUAGUAAGUAGUUAUAAAUAAAAAAUAAUGAUAUUACCCCCUCUCAUUAUAUUUAAGUUUGAAUUUUUUAAUUUUAUAUCUAUAUUUUUAAAUUUAAAAUUUUAACUUUUAAAUUUCAAAUUUAAAAAUUAAAACUUAAAAUUUAAAAUCUCAAAUUUUAAAUUUCAAAAUAAAUUUCAAACUUUAAAUUUAAAAUCAAAUUUAAAUUUAAAAAAUAUAAAAUAUCAAAUUUUAAAUUUAAAAAAUUAUAAAAUUUAAAAUUAUAAACUUUAAUUUUGAGAUUACAAAUUAUAAAUUUUAAAAAUUUAAAUUGUAAAUUUUAAAUUUUAAAUUUUAAAUUUUAAAAAUAAAAAUAUCAGCAAUAAUAAUUUAAUAGUAAUUAAAUUAAUUAAUAGAUUAAUUAAUGAUUUAAUACUAUAAUUAAAAUUAAUUAGAGUUUAAUUAAUCUGGUUCUUGGUUGUUCCAGAGAUAAGUAUGAAACAGAGUAGAGCUACUAUACUUUUAUGAGUAUUAGGCCCUUCGUACUUAUAAGUUGUUUUCGAUGAUAGAGCUUUCGAUUCGACGAUCCACUCCGUUAAAUAUAAUCUAGAUUAUUUGAAACUUCUAGAAAAUAAAUUUCGUAAUUUUUCGAAAUCAUAAUAAUGUCCAUCAAGCGGGCAUAAAAUGAACAGUCAAAAUCGAAUGACAUCUUAAAAAUGAAUGAUCAGAUCCUUUAAUUUAAGAUCAGAGUUAUUAAUCUUUAUCUAGGUAGUGAAUAGAAUUUUCUAUCAAAAAUUCAACCUAUUCGGAUUCUUUUGCACCGUUAAACUAGCAAGUAUUCCAUACCGCCCGUUAAAAAUUGUCAAGUUUGUGAGCUUUUGAUCGUAAGGUAAAUGAUGUCGAAAAAUUAUGAAAUUUAAUUUCUAGAAGUUUUAAAUACUCUAAAAAAUGUUUAACAGUAUGGAUCGUUGAUUCGGAAGCUUUAUCAUCGAAAACGACUUAUGAGUAUGGAGACGAUCAUACUCAUAAGAGUAUAGUAGCCGGACUCAUGAAACAGUAUGAUUUAAUACUAUAAUUAAAAUUAAUUAGAAUUUAAUUAAUCUUGUUCUUGGUUGUUCGGUUGUUCCAGGAUAAGGAUGAAACAGUAACUCUAGGUUUAUACCAAAUUAUAUCAGCUUAUUUCAGAUA
rnacentral:lncRNA from 1 species